CACGGUAAAGUUGGCCGGUGCACCGACUAUUGGACCAGUUGGCUCUAUACCGGGACCAUAAGCGCGCACUCUGCGCGAAAAAACAGCCAUCAUGCUUACUUGUUUGGAUUUGUGCGGGGACGUAGAGGUGCACCUGGCUUUAAUUUCGCGUUGGGGUACUGCGACAGAAUUGCGGUAAAUUAUCACUGCAACGAACCUGAGGAAUAUUGAGCCAAUCAUCGGCGAGGCCCAUCGCCUCGGAUGCAUUCUGGAUCG